CAUGAUAACAGUUAUCAUCUAUCUGUGAUUAAUAACAGUUAUUGUAAUUUUUAUAUGUAUCUAAUAAUAUUAUAGGUUGUGGCUAGUAACUGAAGCAUUUCUAUUCCAUACUCCAACUCCACGUCUCUACCUAUCAGGACAUUUUUUGUUGCUUCAGUGAGUACUCUUCAAGAAGCUGCUGCUAAAGUGAGAAGAUUGAGACUACUAGCUGAUUCAAUGGCGUUGAUGGGAUGAAAGUAGAUUUUGCGGACAGUCAAGAGUAGUUUGAUCUCUUUGAGAAGUACAAGCUUGUGAUUGAUAUAUGGUUUUUGGCGAAGGAUGUUGGAGUAUUGGACGUAGUCUAUGUUGUAUAGGUACAGGAAAGGUUAUUGAACAAAUAAAAGAAAAGCUUUUACUAUCUGAUCAGGACCUACAUACUAGUAAGUUGGAGCAAGGCUUAUGGUUUAUAACAAUAGACAACUUUUGAAAACCAGCCCAGAUGAAUGGUUAAUGAUGAUAUCGAUGAAGAAUUUCAAGAUUUAGAAGUACAAGAGAUGAAGACAGAUGUUUAUGUUCAAGUGUUAUUUUGAUUGUGAAAAUGAUAAUUGACAUUUUGAGUUAACA